AUACUUACCUGGCGUAGGUAGGGGGCCACCGUGAUCACGAAGGCGGUUCCCCCAGAGCGAGAUUCGACCAUUGCACUGCGGCGGGGGGGUUGAUCUUUGCGAUUAUCCCUAAUGUGGAUAACUCGGACGCGUAAUAUUUGGUUAUGGGGACUGUGUAUGCGCCGUCUCCC